GACAGAGGGGGCAAGCGUUGCUCGGAAUUACUGGGCGUAAAGGGCGCGUAGGCGGGAUGGUAAGUCGGUCGUGAAAUCCCUCGGCUCAACCGAGGAACGUCGAUCGAUACUACCGUUCUUGAGGAUUGCAGAGGAGACUGGAAUUCCCGGUGUAGCGGUGGAAUGCGUAGAGAUCCGGAGGAAGACCGGUGGCGAAGGCGGUCUGCUGGGCAGUUUCUGACACUGAUGCGCGACAGCGUGGGGAGCAAACAGG
rnacentral:rRNA from 1 species